AGUGAACGCUGGCGGUAGGCCUAACACAUGCAAGUCGAACGGCAGCACAGUAAGAGCUUGCUCUUACGGGUGGCGAGUGGCGGACGGGUGAGGAAUACAUCGGAAUCUACUUUUUCGUGGGGGAUAACGUAGGGAAACUUACGCUAAUACCGCAUACGACCUACGGGUGAAAGCAGGGGAUCUUCGGACCUUGCGCGAUUGAAUGAGCCGAUGUCGGAUUAGCUAGUUGGCGGGGUAAAGGCCCACCAAGGCGACGAUCCGUAGCUGGUCUGAGAGGAGGAUCGGCCACACGGGAACUGAGACACGGUCCAGACUCCAACGGGAGGCAGCAGGGGGGAAUAUUGGACAAGGGGCGCAAGCCUGAUCCAGCCAUACCGCGGGGGUGAAGAAGGCCUUCGGGUGGUAAAGCCCUUUUGUUGGGAAAGAAAAGCAGCAGGUUAAUACCCCGCUGUUCUGACGGUACCCAAAGAAUAAGCACCGGCGAACUUCGU
rnacentral:rRNA from 1 species